CAACAUUGAAAUAUAAGCGAAGGGGAGUGUUGAUUCCAAAAUUCUAAAUGCAUUUUGUGGAUGUUUAUGGUUUUAAAUUCUAUAAAUUAUAAUCGGAAAUCCUCACAAUGUUAAUUUAAAACCGAAAUUGAAAAUAACCGAAGUUAAAUUGAAAGAGUACGACACUCGAGCGGUGGAGACGGUGAAGACACAAACGUCAAAGGUUCCGACGCAAAUUGCCUUCGUACAUGAACAAUAAAAAAAUCUUUAUCGCCGAGCUGAAACACUGCUACCCAUUUCCUGGGAAAAUGAGCCUGCACGUGUACUGAACGACUUCCUGCGUCUGAUAUACAUGACGUCAUCUUCGUUCCCAGAGCCUUAAGGUCUACUGCGCGGUACGAGGUUAUAAGAGUGGGUGCCUGUCUUCGAAUUGAUCAGAAGCUGCUGAAGUAGUUGGAGAUAAAAGCAAACUAUUUUUUCAAGCAAGGCUUUUCAGG